rnacentral:rRNA from 1 species
GAUGUACGCUGGCGGCGUGCUUAACACAUGCAAGUCGAACGAGGAACACUGAUGAAGUUUUCGGAUGAAUUCGGUAUUCCGAGUGGCGGACGGGUGAGUAACGCGUGGGUAACCUGCCCUGUACAGGGGGAUAACAGUUGGAAACGACUGUUAAUACCGCAUAAGACCACAGCACCGCAUGGUGCAGGGGUAAAAACUCCGGUGGUACAGGAUGGACCCGCGUCCAAUUAGCUAGUUGGUGAGGUAACGGCCCACCAAGGCGACGAUUGGUAGCCGAUCUGAGAGGAUGACCGGCCACAUUGGGACUGAGACACGGCCCAAACUCCUACGGGAGGCAGCAGUGGGGAAUAUUGCACAAUGGGGGAAACCCUGAUGCAGCGACGCCGCGUGAGUGAUGAAGUAUUUCGGUAUGUAAAGCUCUAUCAGCAGGGAAGAAAAUGACGGUACCUGAGUAAGAAGCCCCGGCUAACUACGUGCCAGCCGCCGCAGUAAUAC